rnacentral:lncRNA from 1 species
GUGUUUCUUCAAUCCAAAGACAGAGACCAGAAAACAGAAAUGCUGAACCUAAAAAGUGAAGGUGAGCUCAUGCUUCUGCACUUCAUCUGUUUUAUACAUGUUUAUGUAAUAGCAGCCUAAUGUGUAAUUCAUUUAUUGUCAACAACAGACUGCUGACGUGCAAAUGUAGGUGUUGUAUAAGAGAAUAAAUAUGGACUUCUUACGGUACAACGGUAAACUUGCUGCUGUUCAGAUGAUCCAGAUCUGGUAUAAAUGCAGUGUUUUAUGCUUAUGAACAGUCUUCUCUCAUCAGAUGUUAACGCUGGUGGUUUAUUAAACCAAGGAGACACUUGUUACCUGAACAAUGUGAAGCAGGAGCUGUUCCAAGGCUUCAGAGAAGCUGUGGAGAGACACAACACCUGCAUGGAUCGACACCUUAAAGACCUGUUUGAUGAGCUGCAGCGUCGCACACCCAGCACCAACACAAUCCUAAACAAGCUGGGCAUCGACAGAGGUACAGGAUCAGCAGAACAGCGUCAGCGUCACGUCUGCUGAUCAGAGUCCUGUGGAUGUGGGUCCUGAACCACACACAAUCAGCAUUUGUCUGAAUGAGCUCAUUGGUCGCUCUGCUCCUGUUUCCUCAGUGUGGGAACAACAAGACGCUGCUGAGUUCUACGUAAAGAUCUUAAGUCAAACCAGUGAAGCUGCUUCACAGGUAAAAACAUCACUAACGUCAAACAGUCGCUCAGAUCCAAACUAACACUUAUCAGUGUCUGUGUUUUGUUUGCAGAUCUUCCACGGAGCGUUGACACAUACGACCAUAUGUCAUAAUCCUCAGUGUGGAGCACAGAAACCUGCAGACUCACGUUUCUGGCAUCUUCCUCUCUCAUUGAAUGAUUCCCACAGUGAAGAAUAUCAAGUGGUGAGAAUCUGACGGUCUGUGAACUAAACACAUGGUGUCAAACAGACCAAAGACUAAUGUAAAGAUACAUCAGCGUGAUGUUGGGUCAGAACCAUUACUCUUUACUUAGUUACUCUUUACCUUGUACAGAUAAACAGCCGCCACCAUCGCUGUGUAAUGAAAC